CAGUAAUCACAAAUCUACACAAUAACACAAUAUCAGAACUUCCACUCGACCAUUAACUCGGUACAAAAACUCAGCAUUCGGAAUCGAUACAACCAGGAGAAAACAACUCGGAACUCUGCAACUCGCAGCAACACAGCAAUGACUCGCUACACAGACUCGAUUAGAAACGAAAAUGCAGAAAUAUCGAACCCAGAACUCAAAGCAAAAGAUGCGACUCGGUUGAAUACAAAGCAGACUCGACAAAAGAAAUCAAAGAGCACGAAAACAGACUACUCGGAAACGACUCGCGACCCAUCAAAAACUCUUUAGCAAACUCAACUACACUACCCAGCAAGUGACUAAAAACUCAGCAACAAAGCAGAACCCAGAUUUCGAAAACAAAAUUUACCAGCCAGACUUGAUACAGACUCAGUUAACCACAGAAAACAAAGCACUCGACUCAACAGCUAACCUCGAAAUCAACCAAACAAACAUCUGAAACCAUGACUCGCCUAAUACUACUCAGACGCGACUCGGCAUACAAAACCCAUCAACAAAAACAACUAGAAUGACUCGGUAAUGGUAGAC
rnacentral:lncRNA from 1 species